AGGUCAUUCUGAUUGUUUAGAAUCAGUUCUUGAGGCUGCCCACUCCAACCCGAUUUCGGAAUCCUGGGGAUUUGCCCGUUUUGUUAAUGUGAAGGAUGCCAAGGGGGCAACGCCAUUGCAUCUUGCUGCGAAGCAAGGUCGGUCAGCCUGCGUCAGAAUGCUAUUGGAUAAAGGAGCUCGUCUGUGCUUCUAUCGUUGACUACGGGUAGCUUGGUGCUGAUUAUUAUCUUUUGUUAUUUGUAAUCAAUUAGUAAGUUUUCUAGCAUUUGCUUAUAGUUUUCAGCAAAAGGUGAUCAUUGAAGGAUUGGGGUGGUUUUCGUUAAUUUAGGAAGGUGAUUUAGGAAUUCCAUCACAGAGGAGCCUUGAUGCUAUGGAUGUUACAACUUCUCCCACACGGUCUUCCAAUUUCUGCACGCCAGGUCAUGUAUGAGCUUCGUGUCUACUCACUUGAAGAGGCAACGAUGAUUUGGGAGAGGGUACUAGUACUGAUCUAGAUGCUUAUGAAGUCAACAAUAAGUUGCAGAUUACACAAGAACACGGCUCAUCUGAUUCAAAGUUCGCUCCUAGCGAUCCUGUUGGGCUAGCUGAUGUUGAGGUAGAUUUAAUAACCAACAGUUCUGAAAAGAUAGAAGUUGAUGUUGCUGUAUCUAUACAGGAGCAAUGUUCAAACUCUCCAGUUCAGAAUGACCAACUCGAUUCAUAUAUUAAGGAGACAAUGUCUAUUGAGAAGGAAGAAUAAAACAGUUUUUUAGUUAAUU